rnacentral:rRNA from 1 species
GUAGUCUAGCAUGUGCGCGAGUCAUUGGGACUCUAACGAAACCUAAAGGCGUAAUGAAAGUGAAGGUCCGCCUAGCGCGGGCCGAGGGAGGAUGGGUGUCCCCGAGGGGACGCCUCGCACUCCCAGGGCGUCUCGUUCUCAUUGCGAGAAGAGGCGCACCAAGAGCGUACACGCUGGGACCCGAAAGAUGGUGAACUAUGCCUGGUCAGGACGAAGUCAGGGGAAACCCUGAUGGAGGUCCGUAGCGAUUCUGACGUGCAAAUCGAUCGUCGGAACUGGGUAUAGGGGCGAAAGACUAAUCGAACCAUCUAGUAGCUGGUUCCCUCCGAAGUUUCCCUCAGGAUAGCUGGCGCUCGCUUCUCGCGAGUCUCAUUCGGUAAAGCGAAUGAUUAGAGGCAUUGGGGUCGAAACGGCCUCAACCUAUUCUCAAACUUUAAAUGGGUGAGAUCUCCGGCUUGCUUGAACUGUGAAGCCGCGAGAUAUCGGAUCAGAGUGCCAAGUGGGCCACUUUUGGUAAGCAGAACUGGCGCUGUGGGAUGAACCAAACGCUGAGUUAAAGCGCCUAAAUCGACGCUUAUGGGAUACCAUGAAAGGCGUUGGUAACUUAAGACAGCAGGACGGGUGGCCAU